rnacentral:misc_RNA from 1 species
CUGAGUACUACACUCUCUACCCUUUGUGAACUACUAUACCUGUUGCUUCGGCGGCGCCCGCGAGGGUGCCCGCCGGUCUCAUCAGAAUCUCUGUUUUCGAACCCGACGAUACUUCUGAGUGUUCUUAGCGAACUGUCA